GGAAGUACACCCUGCCAUUUUAACGUUGAAACAGUUCGCUCUUAUUCGCAGCCCUGUCUUCGAAUCGAUUGUGACUUUCUCCAUAUUCUAAUACUCUGCUGAAAAAUGAAGACGGAAUCUCUCAGAAUAUACGACGAGAAGCGGCACGAAAGAAUCGGUCAUCGUUGGAUUUUUUUACUACGAACGCGACGAAUACGAGAUGGUUGGCUCAAAAUGAGUGCUGUUGCGAUUUAUUAAAUUGAUGCUGUUACAAACAAUGGGAAGAGAAGAGAAAUGAAAAGCAGGCUUGACAAUUUUGUGAGGAGGAGGAAGAGGAAGAGGAGGCUCAAGAAAAGCAAGAGAUCAAUUUUACGGUUACAGAAUCAUGUAAUGCACAUAGCUGAUAACUCCACUGCUGCGCAUCAAUCGGUCUUUCUUUUAUUGGUACGCGCAGUCACCGGCUGCGAUCAAGCCAUUAGUCAGUUAGUGAAGAUGCAGUAAAAAAUAUAAUGGAGACUUUGCACGGCUCUGUACUACUGAGAGAUUGGGACA